rnacentral:rRNA from 1 species
CGUAGGGGCUAGCGUUGUCCGGAAUCAUUGGGCGUAAAGAGCGUGUAGGCGGCCCGGUAAGUCCGCUGUGAAAGUCAAAGGCUCAACCUUUGAAUGUCAGCGGAUACUGCCGGGCUAGAGUCCGGAAGAGGCGAGUGGAAUUCCUGGUGUAGCGGUGGAAUGCGCAGAUAUCAGGAGGAACACCAACGGCGAAGGCAGCUCGCUGGGACGGUACUGACGCUGAGACGCGAAAGCGUGGGGAGCGAACAGGAUUAGAUACCCUGGUAGUCCACGCCGUAAACGAUGGGCACUAGGUGUGGGAGGUGUCGACUCCUCCCGUGCCGGCGCUAACGCAUUAAGUGCCCCGCCUGGGGAGUACGGCCGCAAGGCUA